GGAGCUGAGUGGUAGGGCAUCUGCUUUGCAUGCAGAAAGUUCUGGGUUUGAUCCCCAACGGCAUCU